GAUGAACGCUGACAGAAUGCUUAACACAUGCAAGUCGAUGGGGAAGUGGUGCUUGCACCAUGGUAACCAUGGCGGACGGGUGAGUAACGCGUAAGGAACUUGCCUGCGGGACUGGGAUAACAGCAGGAAACUGCUGAUAAUACCGGAUAAGGUCAUUAAGCUGCAUAGCUUAGUGAUGAAAGGAGACGCCUGCGGAGAGCCUUGCGUCCUAUUAGCUAGUUGGAGGGGUAACGGCCCACCAAGGCGAAGAUAGGUAGCCGGCCUGAGAGGGUGGACGGCCAGAAGGGGACUGAGAUACGGCGCUUACUCCUACGGGAGGAAGCAGUGGGGAAUAUUGGACAAUGGGGGCAACACUGAUACAGCAAUUCUGUGUGCACGAAGACGGUUUUCGGAUUGUAAAGUGCUUUCAGCAGGGAAGAAGGAAGUGACGGUACCUGCAGAAGAAGCGACGGCUAAAUACGUG
rnacentral:rRNA from 1 species